rnacentral:rRNA from 1 species
AUUGAACGCUGGCGGCAUGCCCUACACAUGCAAGUCGAACGGCAGCACGGGGGCAACCCUGGUGGCGAGUGGCGAACGGGCGAGUAAUGCAUCGGAACGCGCCCAGUAGUGGGGGAUAACCAGUCGAAAGACUGGCUAAUACCGCACCCGACCUCCGGGCGAACGCGGGGGACCGUCAGGCCUCGCGCUACUCGAGCGGCCGAUGUCUGACUAGCUAGUCGGCGGGGUAAGAGCCCACCAAGGCGACGAUCAGUAGCUGGUCUGAGAGGACGACCAGCCACACUGGAACUGAGACACGGCCCAGACUCCUACGGGAGGCAGCAGUGGGGAAUUUUGGACAAUGGGCGCAAGCCUGAUCCAGCCAUGCCGCGUGCGGGAAGAAGGCCUUCGGGUUGUAAACCGCUUUUGGCAGGAACGAAACGGCGCAAGCCAAUACCUUGCGCUAAUGACGGUACCUGCAGAAUAAGCACCGGCUAACUACGUGCCAGCCGCCGCUGUAACAC